AUUACUCCUACGGGAGGCAGCAGUGGGGAAUAUUGGACAAUGGGCGAAAGCCUGAUCCAGCAAUGCCGCGUGAGUGAUGAAGGCCCUACCGUUGUAAAGCUCUCAUACCCGGGAUGAUAAUGACAGUACCGGGAGAAUAAGCGACCGGCUAACUCCAUGCCAGCAGCCGCGGUAAUAAUC
rnacentral:rRNA from 1 species